rnacentral:rRNA from 1 species
UGAAUACGAAAUGCUACGGCAUUGAAGUGAUCUAUGCCAUGCUUCCAAGAAAAUCUCGUCAUAUCUUAAACAAUAGAUGCCUGUACCUUAAACCGACACAGGUAGGUAGGUAGAGUAUACCAAGGGGCGCGAGAUAACUCUCUCUAAGGAACUCGGCAAAAUAACCUCGUAACUUCGGAAGAAGAGGUACCCUUGAAAAAGGGUUGCAAUAACCAGACCCUGGCGACUGUUUACCAAAAACACAGGUCUCCGCUAAUUCGUAAGAUCAAGUAUGGAGGCUGACGCCUGCCCAGUGCCGGAAGGUUAAAGAAGUUGGUCAAUCUUUGGAUGAAGCUGGCGACUGAAGCCCCGGUGAACGGCGGCCGUAACGAUAACGGUCCUAAGGUAGCGAAGUUCCUUGUCGGGUAAGUUCCGACCCGCACGAAAGGCGUAACGAUCAGGGUGCUGUCUCGGAGAGAGACUCGGCGAAAUAGACAUGUCUGUGAAGAUGCGGACUACCUGCACCUGGACAGAAAGACCCUAUGAAGCUUUACUGUAUCUUGGAAUUGGGUUUGGGCCUUGCUUGCGCAGGAUAGGUGGGAGGCUAUGAAAAUAUUCUUGCGGGAAUGUUGGAGCCAACGGUGAGAUACCACUCUAGUAAGGCUAAAAUUCUAACUCUGAACCGUUAUCCGGUCAGAGAACAGUUUCAGGUGGGCAGUUUGACUGUGGCGGUCGCCUCCUAAAAGGUAACGGAGGCGCGCAAAGGUUCCCUCAGGCUGGUUGGACAUCAGUCGUAGAGUGUAAAGGCAUAAGGGAGCUUGACUGCGAGACCCACAAGUCGAGCAGAGACGAAAGUCGGCCUUAGUGAUCCGACGGUUCCACGUGGAAGGGCCGUCGCUCAACGGAUAAAAGUUACUCUAAGGAUAACAGGCUGAUCUCCCCCAAGAGUUCACAUCGACGGGGAGGUUUGGCACCUUGAUGUCGGCUCAUCGCAUCCUGGGGCGGUAGUACGUCCCAAGGGUUGGGCUGUUCGCCCAUGAAAGCGGUACGCGAGCUGGGUUCAGAACGUCGUGAGACAGUUCGGUCCAUAUCCGGUGCAGGCGUUAGAGCAUUGAAAGGAGUCCCCCUUAGUACGAGAGGACCGGGGGGAAUACACCGCUGGUGUACCAGUUAUCGUGCCAACGGUAAACGCUGGGUAGCCAUGUGUAGCGUGGAUAACUGCUGAAAGCAUCUAAGUAGGAAGCCCACCUUAAGAUGAGUGCUCUCACCGCUAUAAGCGGGUAAGGUCACGGUAAGAACAACCGUUAUAUAGGCAUUAAGUAUACGUGCAGUAAUGCAUUUAGCUAAGAUGUACUAACAGACCGAAGGCUUGAA